CACUAAGUAAUUUCUAUAUCUAGCGCAAAAACUUUUGUAUCAUACCAAACACUCUUGACCUACUACUCUUUAAUAACUAAGAUGUGAGGCAUGAGAAGCAUAAUAUCUUUGGAUUAUAAGACAUUAUUCUAUCUUUCAAAGACAAGCAAGUAUAUUUUUAUAUAACAACUUUGCAAUGCACUAAGGAAGGCUUCUUAGAGUUGUGCUUAACACUAGUU
rnacentral:lncRNA from 1 species